UUAAGUUCAGCGGGUAUCCCUACCUGAUCCGAGGUCAAACGAUUGAAAUCUUAAUGGAUGUAGACUAUGAGGAGAAACGCAAAUGUGCUGCGCUGGACUACUGAUAAUCUGCUGCCAAUAAUUUUGAGGCAAGUCCUUGCGGACAACGCCCAACACCAAGCAAAGCUUGAAGGUUCAAAUGACGCUCGAACAGGCAUGCC
rnacentral:misc_RNA from 1 species